CCUGGUUGGUCCUGCCAGUAGCAUAUGCUUGUUCAGAGAUUAAGCCAUGCACAUGGCCGGUACACUGAAACUGCAAAUGGCUCAUUAAAUCCGUUAUGGUUCCUUUGAUCGCUCCAUCUGUUACUUGGAUAAAUGUGGUCAUUCUAAAGCUACCACAUGGCGAUAAGUGAUGACCUCCUGGAAUGCAUGCAUCCAAGACCAUUCUGCACUCGUCUGGCCUCUUUGGUGACUCUAGAUAAUCUCGAGCCGAUCGCACGUCCUUGUGGGAGGCGACUUUACUUUCUGGUGUCUACCAUCGAAAGCUGAUGGGGGGGGGGGGGGGGGGAAAGGGUCACUUUCUUUGCCUACCAUGGUGACCACAUGCAACAAGGAGUCUGCAUUUGAUUCCAGAGCAGGAGCUUGAGAAACGGCUACCAUGUGGAAGGCAGUAGGCACACAAAUUACCCACUCUCAACUCAGGGAUGUAGUGACGAAAAAUUAAUUAAUUCGAGACCCUGUAAUUGGAAUGAGUACACUGUUAAUCCUUUAACGAGGAUCCAUUGGCGAGUAAGUCUGGUGCCAGCAGCAGCAGUAAUUCCAGCUCCAAUAGUGUGUAUUAAAGUUGCUGCAGUUAGAAAGCUUGUAGUUGGAGCUUGGGAUCGAGCUGGUAGUCUGCCGCAAGGCGAGCUACUGCCUGUCCCAGCCCCUGCCUCUCGGCACCCCCUUGAUGUUCUUGACUGAGUGUCCUGGGGGGGAGAGGGGGUCUGAAGCAUUUCCUUUGGAAAAAUUAGUGUGUUCAAAGUAGGAGGGUCUCCUGUACACAUCAGCUAGGAAUAUUGGAAUAGGACUCUGGUUCUAUUUUGUUGGUUUUCAGAACUAGGGCCAUAAGAGGGACGGCCGGUGGCAUUGAUUUUAUGCCAUUAGAGGUGAAAUUCUUGGGACUGGCGCAAGAUGAAACAAAGUGAAACAUUUGCCAAGAAUGUUUUUAUUAAUCCUGAAUGAAAGUCAGAGGUUGGAAGACAUCGGAUACCGUUAAAUGACCAUAAAUGAUGCCGACUAGUGAUCAGGCAGUGUUAUUGCCAUGACCAGCCAGGCAGCUUGCUUCUGGGGAACCAUUCUUUGCGUUGUGUAGGGAUUUGGGGCAGGGAGGGGUGAGUAUGGUUGCAAAGCUGAAACUUAAAGACAUUGACAGAAGGGCACCACCAGGAGUGAGCCUAAGGCUUAAUUUGACAACAUGGGAAAAAUCACCUGGUCCAGACAGGCAAAGGAUGUACAGAUUGAUAGACCUAUCUCGAUUAUCUGGGUGGUGGUGCAUGGUUGCUCUUAGUUGGUGGAGCAAUUAGUUGGUUUAAUUCCGCCAACUAGCGAGACACUCCAUGCUAGCUAGUUACACGACCCCGCGGCCAUUGUUCAACUUCUUAGAGGACCAAGGUGUUAACAGGUCUGUGAUGCCCUUGGAUGUUCGGGCUGCAUGCACACUACACUUAUCGGCGUGACUACUUUUCGCCGACAAGUGCAGGUAACCUGCUGAACACCGUUCGUGAUAGGGAUUGGGUAUUGCAAUAAUUUCCCAUGAAUGAGGAAUUACUAAUAAGUGCUGGGGUCAUAAACUUGCGUUAAGUUCCUGCCCUCCCACCGCCUGUCGUUACUACAGAUAGGAUGGUUUAGUGAGGUCCUCGAUCAGCCCUGCUGUGGUCGGCAACGGGCCUGGUGGAGUGCUGAGAAGCUGAUCAAACUUGACUAUCUAGAGGAAGUAAGUCGUAACAAGGUUUCCAUAGCUGCACCUGCGGAAG
rnacentral:rRNA from 1 species